rnacentral:sRNA from 1 species
CAGACGAUGCACUGUCUCAGGUCACUCUUAGCCUCCUACGGGGGCACGACAGAAGGAGAGGAACAUUUAGAGAGGCACAGCUCCUACAUCCUUGGAUGGGGAGAGUGGGGAGCAAACAGCCCAGUUCACACUUCUUUCCUCUGUGAAGCCUUCCUUCUCCCAGCAUUCCCUCCCCUCACCCUACUGUGCUGUGGCCGCCACUCUGCCUGGGACUACAGCCAUUUGUCCUUCUGCCUCUCCUCUGCCUGAGAGCAAGGUGAGAGGAUCCCGUUCCUGUUCUCCAUUUCCUGCC